AUGCUUUGUGAGCACAGUGGUGCACAUGUCUACUCGUACUGGCUGACGUCAGUGCAUCUGAAGAAGCCUGUAAGUUGACACCAUCGUUCACCUCCCGCCAAGGACGGUAAACGUCAUUUUCUUACGAAGGCAACAACAAUAUCCAACGAACCAUGCUGAACUGUUUUGUCAGCGUACCGAAUGGAAGUUUGGGGGCUGCGCAUUGUGGGGAACCCAGUUAUUCUGAGAAGUCUGAAGU